rnacentral:rRNA from 1 species
GACGAACGCUGGCGGCGUGCUUAACACAUGCAAGUCGAACGAAGUGGCGAACGGGUGAGUAAUACGUGAGUAACCUGCCCUCCUUUUUGGGAUAAGCCUUGGAAACGGGGUCUAAUACCGAAUAAAGGGGGAUGGGCUCGCGGCCUAUCAGCUGGUUGGUGGGGUGAUGGCCUACCAAGGCGGUGACGGGUAGCCGGCCUGAGAGGGUGACCGGCCACAUUGGAAGUGGGAUACGGGCCAGACUCAUACAGGAUGCAGCAGUGGGGGAUAUUGCACAAUGGGCGACAGCCUGAUGCAGCGACGCCGCGUGGGGGAUGAAGGCUUUCGGGUUGUAACCCUCUUUCGCUAUCGAAGGGGUAGGUGGAGAAGAAGCGCCGGCUAACUACGUGCCAGCAGCCGCGGUAAUAC